AAAGCGUGCGCUGGCGGUUUUGUAAGACUGUCGUGAAAUCCCCGGGCUCAACCUGGGAAUGGCGAUGGUGACUGCAAGGCUAGAGUUUGGCAGAGGGGGGUAGAAUUCCACGUGUAGCAGUGAAAUGCGUAGAUAUGUGGAGGAACACCGAUGGCGAAGGCAGCCCCCUGGGUCAAAACUGACGCUCAUGCACGAAAGCGUGGGGAGCAAACAGGAUUAGAUACCCGUGU
rnacentral:rRNA from 1 species